rnacentral:rRNA from 1 species
UACGUAGGGGGCAAGCGUUGUCCGGAAUUAUUGGGCGUAAAGAGCGUGUAGGCGGCCCGAUCAGUCCGCUGUGAAAGUCCAGGGCUCAACCCUGGGAUGCCGGUGGAUACUGUCGGGCUAGAGUCCGGAAGGGGCGAGUGGAAUUCCUGGUGUAGCGGUGAAAUGCGUAGAUAUCUGGAGGAACACCGGUGGCGAAGGCGGCGUCCUGGACCAACACUGACACUGAUGAGCGAAAGCCAGGGGAGCAAACGGG